UACGGGGGGGGCAAGCGUUGUUCGGAAUUACUGGGCGUAAAGGGCUCGUAGGCGGCCAACUAAGUCAGACGUGAAAUCCCUCGGCUUAACCGGGGAACUGCAUCUGAUACUGGAUGGCUUGAGUUUGGGAGAGGGAUGCGGAAUUCCAGGUGUAGCGGUGAAAUGCGUAGAUAUUGGGAGGAACACCAGUGGCGAAGGCGGCUCACUGGACCGGUACUGACGCUGAUGCGCGAAAGCGUGGGGAGCAAACAGG
rnacentral:rRNA from 1 species